UAAUCCUCCACGUCGGAUUGCCGACAGGUCCGAGUCCGAGAUUUCCUACCUUGAUUAUUAUUAUUACUAUUAUAUUAUUCUUAUUUACAACGGUCUUUAGACUCCAGACUCCAGAAAAUGCCCCGCCGACCACUACCGCCCAUAUGGCGAUUGACGAUUUGAAUUAUUAUUUUUAUUACGAUCACUGUUCGUUGUUAUCAGAGGAAAAGAGUCCGUCCCACGACUGUUUGUAGAUAGAAGACUAUCUACAGCUCAGCUUAGAUCAUACACUAAUAAAUUAUCUAAGAUAUACAGCUGUUGAUAAACUUCCAUUUACAGCCUGCCGUGGACGGCGUGGACCGUGAUAGCAUAGACGUGCCGUGGUAGAACCAGGUCCAUCCCGUGUAAAAGACUUUAUUAUCUAUUAAUUUGUUAUCAACACUUACUUGAUGUUGCGAACGGUUUCACGGCCGCCGCUAAGCCACUGAUAACGGUUUAUCACACCGCCCCCCUACCAUACGGGAAUGGGCCGAGUAUUGAUAGUGUACUGUGCCCGUACGAACCGACAUAAUAUACGUCCUACAGAACAUUAUGUUCUACAACUGAUACGAUGCGUAAAUACUUAACUAGACAACGGAGCUUGUCCUGGCCAAAAAUUAUUCUCGCUUCUGCAAUAGGAGUGUUUGGCGGAGUAUACGUUUGGAAGCCAUUUUUCGAGUCGCUGGACAAGGAACGUCCCAAGAAAAUUAAGGAAGAAUGAAUAAGAACGCCAAAACUGUACAACCCGGUGGUAUACUCACUGGUAAUUUCAACAAAAUACUAGCAUUUGUUGGUUUAAGUUGGUUUGCAUCGAUGGUGAUUGUUAGAUAUGUGAUAAAACCAUAUAGAAUAGAAGCAAAGAUGAAAGAAGAUGAAAUGCUUAUGAAUUUUCUUUAUGAUGAACAAAAAAAACAAGCAAAUAAAGAAAGUGAAUUUGAUGAAUGAAAAAUAUUAAUGUUAUCAAUGCUUCAUCCUUUUUGAUAUUUACUCAUGUUUUGAUAUUUUGUUGAAUAGUGACUACAUUUAGAUGAAUAAUUUUGUUUAUAAAAAUUAUACAUUAAAUAUUUAACUAUAUAGAAUUAAAUGGUAUAGAAACCAUGUAAUUGCUUGAAAUAAAAAUAAAAAUAAAUAUAUUUUUUAAUAAAUUGAUUGA